UACGGAGGGGGCUAGCGUUGUUCGGAAUUACUGGGCGUAAAGCGCGCGUAGGCGGACCUGCAAGUCGGGGGUGAAAGCCCGAGGCUCAACCUCGGAACUGCCUUCGAUACUGCGGGUCUCGAGUCCGGGAGAGGUGAGUGGAAUUCCUAGUGUAGAGGUGAAAUUCGUAGAUAUUAGGAAGAACACCAGUGGCGAAGGCGGCUCACUGGCCCGGUACUGACGCUGAGGCGGCGAAAGCGUGGGGAGCAAACAGG
rnacentral:rRNA from 1 species